rnacentral:rRNA from 1 species
AUUGAACGCUGGCGGCAGGCUUAACACAUGCAAGUCGAACGAGUGGCGGACGGGUGAGUAAUGCUUGGGCAUCUGGCUUAUGGAGGGGGAUAACUACGGGAAACGGUAGCUAAUACCGCUUACCAUCGGAUGAGCCCACGUGGGAUUAGGUAGUUGGUGGGGUAAAGGCUCACCAAGCCGACGAUCCCUAGCUGGUCUGAGAGGAUGACCAGCCACACUGGGACUGAGACACGGACCAGACUCCUACGGGAGGCAGCAGUGGGGAAUAUUGCACAAUGGGAGCAAGCCUGAUGCAGCCAUGCCGCGUGUAUGAAGAAGGCCUUAGGGUUGUAAAGUACUUUCAGCGGGGAGGCGUUACCCGCAGAAGAAGCACCGGCUAACUCCGUGCCAGCAGCCGCGGUAAUUC